UACGUAGGGUGCAUGCGUUGUCCGGAAUUAUUGGGCGUAAAGAGCUCGUAGGCGGUCUGUUGCGUCGGCUGUGAAAACCCGGGGCUCAACCCCGGGCCUGCAGCCGAUACGGGCAGACUAGAGUUCGGCAGGGGAGACUGGAAUUCCUGGUGUAGCGGUGAAAUGCGCAGAUAUCAGGAGGAACACCGGUGGCGAAGGCGGGUCUCUGGGCCGAUACUGACGCUGAGGAGCGAAAGCGUGGGGAGCGAACAGG
rnacentral:rRNA from 1 species